rnacentral:rRNA from 1 species
GUGGGGAAUAUUGCACAAUGGGCGAAAGCCUGAUGCAGCGACGCCACGUGGGGGAUGACGGCCUUCGGGUUGUAAACCUCUUUCAGCAGGGAAGAAGCUUUUUGUGACGGUACCUGCAGAAGAAGCACCGGCUAACUACGUGCCAGCAGCCGCGGUAAUACGUAGGGUGCAAGCGUUGUCCGGAAUUAUUGGGCGUAAAGAGCUUGUAGGUGGCUUGUCGCGUCUGCCGUGAAAACCCGAGGCUCAACCUCGGGCGUGCGGUGGGUACGGGCAGGCUAGAGUGUGGUAGGGGAGACUGGAACUCCUGGUGUAGCGGUGAAAUGCGCAGAUAUCAGGAAGAACACCGAUGGCGAAGGCAGGUCUCUGGGCCAUUACUGACACUGAGAAGCGAAAGCAUGGGGAGCGAACAGGAUUAGAAACCCCUGUAGUCC